UACGGAGGGUGCAAGCGUUAUCCGGAUUCACUGGGCUUAAAGGGUGCGUAGGUGGGCUGGUAAGUCAGGGGUGAAAUCUCCGGGCUUAACUCGGAAACUGCCAUUGAUACUAUCAGUCUUGAAUACCGUGGAGGUCAGUAGAAUAUGUCAUGUAGCGGUGAAAUGCUUAGAUAUGACAUAGAAUACCAAUUGCGAAGGCAGCUGGCUACACGAAUAUUGACACUCAGGCACGAAAGCGUGGGGAGCAAACAGG
rnacentral:rRNA from 1 species